AAAACAAAUCAAUCAAUCUCUCAAUCACUCGCACUUCCAUAGCGCCCUUUAUCGAAAUGGCAGGCAGUGCCUGACAGCCUGACAGGUUUUGGCCUUCAAGUCCUUGCCUGCUAACUAUUCAUUAAGUUCACCAACAUGCAACCUAAAGAUCUGUGCUCCCCCUCAGCGUCCUUGCUCACCUUCCCUCGACGGCUUUCAGCUACUCAAUAGAAAAGCAGCCGGCACGCUGCGCUGCUGAGGCUGAGGUAGGUGGCAACAUGCGGUCCUGAAGUCAUUGUAAACAACAUGGGCCUAUUCAGAAUUGCUUUGUUUCUCUCCUUGGCUGCAGAUUUGGAUCCAGCAUUUAGCAUCUGAGUCAAUGCUUCCAGGAACUGCACUGUAGUAAUUGAAGCAUAUCAGAGUGCAUUGUGUGUGUGUGUUCGUUCAUUCCCUCCCUUGCCAUUUAUGUCCAUGGCUGCUAACUCGCCCCGAAGAAUUUCUACAAUGUGCAAAGUUCAGAGAGCAAACAGGGCCACUAACAGCACAGAGCAAAAGACAGCUCUCUCACACAUACCCCAAAUUCCCAAUCACCUAUGCAUCUAUUUGUUCUCUCCUAGACAGCUCCAUUAAGGAGCAUGUGGCUUUACUGGGGAUGUGGUUUAUACCUGUAAAAAAAUGGAUUUUUCCCCCACAUGGAUGAUCCCUAACUAGCCAAGCAAAAGAAACACCUAUGAGCUUGUAUAGCCCCAUCCAGUGUGAGGGCCAUAUAAUGAAACAAAAUACUAAUACAGUGGUACCUCGGGUUACAGACGCUUCAGGUUACAGACUCCUAACCCAGAAAUAGUACCUCGGGUUAAGAACUUUGCUUCAGGAUGAGAACAGAAAUCGUGCAGCGGCAGCAGCGGGAGGCCCCAUUAGCUAAAGUAGUGCUUCAGGUUAAGAACAGUUUCAGGUUAAGAAUGGACCUCCGGAACGAAUUAAAUUCUUAACCCGAAGUACCACUGCGUUAAGAGCAUUGUAAUUCGCUUUAUGUGGGACUACCCAUGAAGAUGGUUUCGAGUAUAUGCACGGAACUGUUUCUAGGACAAUCUGAAAUAUGGAUUGUUACCUUCAGACCCAUAUAAUGUGGGGCCUGGGCACCUGAAGGAUCACACCAAUAUGAGUUGGUGUGUAUGUAUAUAUUGCUUUAAUUCUGUUGAUGUUUAAUUGUUUUUUAAUGAUUGUUCCCACUGCCCCUCCAGUGUUUUUAGCUGUUUCUAUUUUAUCUGUAAGCUGCUGAGUCCCUGUCAGGGAAAAAGGUGGGAUAUAAAUAUAAGAAUAAGAGAAAGAGUAAGCUAAGCUAAUUUUCUCCAGAUGCCUCAAAUGAGCAAUAAAGCUUUCCUACCCACUGAUAGUCCACAAUUUCUAUGCACCAUAUUUUUUCCUGGAAAUGGAAAGCUGUCUUUUAGUGAUGCCUAUCAAGUCCACACCUUUAAAACCAUAUUAAAAAAACAAACAAACAAAACCAUGGUUUUGAUAGGUGGAUCUGCAGAAAUGGAUGACUGUGACAAUGAACGGUUGACAUUUCAGGUUCUUUCAUUGCAAACAAUAUGUCCAUCUGCUUCCCCAUUCCUUUCUUGCUCAUUCUUAGAAAAAUGAACUAUUGAUUCUUCCAGCAAUUCGUUGAAAAUACAGUGGCAGAUUUUAAAAAAGAGAUCAUAAGCAAAGCUAUUUAAAUGAAAAGAUAUAUUCAUUAACACACAGUCUUUGUUAUUGGUCCUCUCUCCCUCCCUCCCUCUUAAAAUGUAUAGGUGUAGGACUUACAUUCAGUAAGCAUAUUUAUGAAGCAACACCACAUUAUUUCUUGUACCAAAACAAAACAAAAUGAAGCACUUGCACUUCUACAUGCUUACUGCAUGUCUAUGCCUAUUCAGAAGUCAGGCCCACUGAGUUUAGUGGUACUUUACAGCCUUAGUGCUUUCUUUUCUAGACAAAAAGGUGCCAGAACGGACUUCUGUCAGUGCCCUAGGAGGAUCUCUUUCGGCUGGGGAGAGAGGGUCUCCUCAUAAGCCAGAGGCUUGUUGAGGCUGCUCAGCUGAGGCCAGGGGAGCCUUCUGCACCUCAGCUGAGCACCUUAAGGAGACCCCCCCCACACCUCUUUGGCUUGCAUGAGUUGGAGCAGCUGGGAGCUUGCUCAGCUGAGGCAUGGCUUUCCUGCAGAGCUCCAGGGGCUUCCCUUUGGGCUCCAGGGAAGCCGUAGGCCCAGUGGGGCUUUGCUGAGGCUGGUCAGGUCUCUCUCCCCACCUCCGGGGCCACCUGAGAGGUGCCGGAAUGCCGUUCCAGUAGAAAAACCCUCAUCGGUCUUAGGCAUUAAUGAGGCGGGCACCAUGAUUCUGUACACAAUCUAGCCAUAGUUACCGGUAGUUGCAAAACAAACAGUUGAUGAGAUGCUUAAAUCUGUUUCUGGACUGUACAGUGCUAGACUGAAGGAGGGGCCUGACAUGAUUGAAUAGUCUGCCUUAUGAAAAAAUAAGAAGGUGGGCUGGAGGUGUUGCAGAAUGCAACGUAUUUCAUGCUUCACAGAUUUACAUAUGACAGGAGUCAUUUGUAAAGAAGCAUUGAUGCUAGGAAAAAAUGGACCAACUUAGUAAUGAAAGUAAAGUUUCUUGGUGAAAUGGCACAAUAAUCACCAGUGCAAUCCUAUGCACGUUUACUCAAAAAUUAGCCUCAUUGGCUGCAAUUAAUUUUACUCUCAGGUAACUCUCAGAGCUGCAGGCUUACUGUUCUUCUAUGCAAACAUAUUUCGGGGCUGCACAUCUUUCGGGGCUGAGUGAUAAAAACAGGUGUUUGUACUAUUUGGGUCUCACAAAACCUAUAUGGCGCCACACUUUCUUGAUCACAAUUUAUAAACCUCUGUGCAGGUUUAUAGUGUCUUUAUUUUCAAAGUUGCCAACACUACAGUCAUAUCUCCUUAUCCUGUUGCUCUCACAACAGCCUUGCAGGGCGGUUCUAUUUCAUUGCCACUUGCUGCUUCAGUGAACUAAACCAGAAAAACUGUAGCCAAGGCCAGUCACCCACUGUCACUGAGGCUGAGCUGGGGCUUUGUCCAGAACUCCACCCAGAACCAUGUGCCCAUGAUCCUCUGGAUAUUGUUGAACGACACCUUCCAUCUUCUCUGGCCAUUGGUCUUGCCGGCUGGGGCUCAUAGGAGUUGUAAUGCAAUGGUACCUGGAAGGAUACAGAUUCUCCACCCCGAUGUAUACCAAUGGCAUAAUAAUAUGGCUGCCAUGCUUAUAAGCAAAGGUGUGGAUGCUGGAGAGAAGGCUACUAUUAUAGCCCUGCUGCAUCAGGAGAGUUAGAAAGAACCUGAUCUGGUUUUGACUCUUCCAGCUUUAUGUAAUAACAACCAUAAUCUACUGUCGACUGCAGCCUCUCUCUCUCUAUUGCUUUUCAUUUGCUUGGAGCACCUGUUAUUAAAUUUUGUGUUUGCUUUUCUAUAUUGGAAAUGAAAAGAUUACUUUUAGGGUUUCCCCAACUCUUUAACUAGACUUGCGCCUUUAUAAGCUAUGAGAACUGAGAAGGGCGAAGCUUUUCCCAUUGUGGAGGAAAAGCAACCGGAAAGGCUUCACCUGGUCCCUGCUUGUCAUGUCAGGUUGCUGUUGAAGGCACAGAUGGCAGGGCCAGGUGGAAAACCUAAUUCCAUUAUGUGACUUCCUCUUCCUCAUCUGCUUUGCACUGAAGGGUUUCCUCUCUAGCAAGAAGGAUGGGUACACCAAAAUGAUGCAGGAAGUGGUUGCUUUCUAAGAGGGAGGUCUUCCGCUUGCCUGUGAUUUCCUUGGCUAUUGAAGAGACUUUGUAUACAAUCUCUUCCAGCAAAAGGUGAGAAAUGCAGGAGUGCUGGCAUUUAACAAAAAAUACCAACCGCAGCAGGAAGUCAUCUCUGCCCAAUUACAAGGUGAUCUCAGUUCAUUUUAUGGUUUGAUUCCCUCCCCCCUCUCUCUAUCACAUAUGUUUUCAAACACAGUUCUGAUCUCCUGUGGGGAUGGCUUUAGUAAAGAGCCAGGGCUUCUGAUUGAAGGAGCUUC